CUUGGCUUAUAUAUUUCAUUUAGCCCUUUUAUAUCUUAUUCCAAUCCUUCUCUCUCUGGUCCCCCCAAAUUUAUAUUUGCUCCCUGCAUUCCUCCGCUGUCCUUCUCAAACCAUUCUUAUUUUCCUUCCAAUCUUUGGUUUCCCUCCUUGCCUCUCCCCCUCUCCCUCUCCGCUGGACAUACUACAGGUUGUGAUUUCAUCCAGAUAGAAAAAUGUUUCUGCUUGACGUCCCAGCUCUGACAAUUUCCUUC